rnacentral:tRNA from 1 species
GGGUUGGUAGCUCAGUGGUAGAGCGCUUGCCUAGGAAGCGCAAGGCCCUGGGUUCGGUCCCCAGCUCCG